rnacentral:misc_RNA from 1 species
UCUCCGUAGGUGAACCUGCGGAGGGAUCAUUACAGAGUUCAUGCCCUACCGGGUAGAUCUCCCACCCUAUGUUAUUAUUACUUUGUUGCUUUGGCGGGCCGUUAGGCUCCGGCCAGACUACCGGCCCCGGCUGGUAAGCGCCCGCCAGAGGACCCAAAACCCUGAAUAUUAGUGUCGUCUGAGUACUAUAUAAUAGUUAAAACUUUCAACAACGGAUCUCUUGGUUCUG